rnacentral:rRNA from 1 species
UACGGGGGGGGCAAGCGUUGUUCGGAAUUACUGGGCGUAAAGGGCUCGUAGGUGGCCAACUAAGUCAGACGUGAAAUCCCUCGGCUUAACCGGGGAACUGCGUCUGAUACUGGAUGGCUUGAGUUUGGGAGAGGGACGCGAAAUUCCAGGUGUAGCGGUGAAAUGCGUAGAUAUCAGGAAGAACACCGGUGGCGAAAGCGCUCUGCUAGGCCGCAACUGACACUGAGGGACGAAAGCUAGGGGAGCGAAUGGG